CCAAGGCUUGACAUACACCGGAAACGUCUGGAGACAGGCGCCCCCUUGUGGUCGGUGUACAGGUGGUGCAUGGCUGUCGUCAGCUCGUGUCGUGAGAUGUUGGGUUAAGUCCCGCAACGAGCGCAACCCUUGUCCCGUGUUGCCAGCAGGCCCUUGUGGUGCUGGGGACUCACGGGAGACCGCCGGGGUCAACUCGGAGGAAGGUGGGGACGACGUCAAGUCAUCAUGCCCCUUAUGUCUUGGGCUGCACACGUGCUACAAUGGCCGGUACAAUGAGCUGCGAUAC
rnacentral:rRNA from 1 species